rnacentral:rRNA from 1 species
UACGAAGGGGGCUAGCGUUGUUCGGAAUUACUGGGCGUAAAGGGCGCGUAGGCGGUCCUUCAAGUCAGGCGUGAAAGCCCCGGGCUCAACCUGGGAACCGCGCUUGAGACUGGCGGGCUAGAGUUCGUGAGAGGAUGGUGGAAUUCCCAGUGUAGAGGUGAAAUUCGUAGAUAUUGGGAAGAACACCGAUGGCGAAGGCAGCCAUCUGGACCGACACUGACGCUGAGGCGCGAAAGCGUGGGGAGCAAACAGG